AUCUUAUGUAAAUCUGUGUGGCAGUAAAGAAUCCCUAGCAUUUGAAGUGGAAACUCUUCCUUCCACCAGAUGGCAGAGUAGUAUUAAAAAGCAAGCAAAGAAUCAACUACUGUAGACAAACUGGUGGUGAAUUUGCAAGAAUUAUCAAACACAUCAAACAGAUUCCUUUUGGCUUUAGAUUUGACUAAUGAAGCAAAAGAAGCAUAUCUCUUGAGAGAGAAAAGAAAAAGAUUUAAAAUCCAUUAGAAUCUAAGCUUCACCAAGUAGAAGGUGGGCUCGUUGAGAGCAUAUAUAUAUAUAUGCUGGCAAUAAAUACUGGAUGGAUGGAUGGAAGGGUAAGUAAAUUAGGAAAAAAGCUAAAACAAAAUUGUUUUAUUCACACUUCACUUGUUUUCCUUUUUUUUUUUUUUUUUUUUUUUUUUUUUUUUUUUUUUUGUAGAUUCCGAUUCCUCUUCCUUUUCCUUAUUAUCCAAAUCAGGUCCUAACACUUAAUGAUCUUAUAACGUUAAUCACUUCUAUUCUGAACGAACUUGAGGUAAGUUCAUAUUAAUUUUAAUGUUUAUUUAUUAUUGAGAGACACAGAGAGACAAAGCAUGAGCACUGGAGGGGCAGAGAGAGGGGAGACACAGAAUCUGAAGCAGGUUCCAGGCUCUGAGCUGUCAGCACAGAGCCGGAUGCGGGGCUCAGACUCACAAACCACGAGAUCAUGAUCUGAGCAGAAGUGAUGCUUAACCAACUGAGCCACCCAGGCGCCCCUCAUAUUAAUUUUUAAGUUAUUAUAAAGUAUAAACCUAUUUAAUGGACUGAGGGUAAUGUCUUUUUUUUUUUUUAUCUUUUAGGGCUUCUUUGGGGUAAGACUUUAUUUCUAUGAUUAUAUUGAUAAAAACAAGUGACAUUUAAUAUCAGGAAAGGUAAGAAUAACUCUCCUCAACUAUAAAAAUAUAUGGCAGAAUCAAACCCAACUGACUUACCCAAAUUAGAGCUCCUGAGUUAUAAACUCUAAACAAUUUAGAUCAGAAUUUCUGCAGGUCUAAAAAGGUAUUUUCAUAAUGCCAUGGUAUUUGACAAAAUUUCAGCCUACGAAGUAUAUGCAAUGUUAAGAAAUUUCAAACAGUAAAUUUUUCCUCAAGCUUGUUUUUGUUUUAUGGACAAUUCAUAGUAAGCAGUGAGAAAAGUCUGCUGUGAAACUACCAAAUCUAGAAAUGGCCUCAUUUCAAGGCAAAGGCAAAACAUCUCCUUAACACCAAAGCAUCAGCUUGCUGGAUGGAGAGGCUACAAAUCUUGAGACUUCUUUGAUUCUCAUCCAAGUUUGUUCUCACUUUAAAAUAUAUACAAAAGAUAAGCUUUGUGCAGUGGGUAUAUCAUAGCCAAUGAAGUUUAUCCAAGGCACGAUUAUUGCUAAUUGAAAAUACAUACAAAAGAUAUAUUCCUUUUUUAAAUAUCUGAAUUAAUGUCAAUCAAAAUUAUUGUAUAUAAAUUAAUGUUA
rnacentral:lncRNA from 1 species